rnacentral:rRNA from 1 species
UACAGAGACCUCAAGCGUUAUCCGGAAUCAUUGGGCGUAAAGCGUGCCGAUAGGUUGUUUUGAUAGUUUUGGGUAAAAGCCAGAAGCUCAACUUCUGCGUUUGCUCAAAAUACUUCAAGACUAGAGGGGCAAAGAGGUGCUUGGAACGAAUGGUGUAGUAGUGAAAUGCGUUGAUAUCAUUCGGAACACCGAAAGCGAAGGCAGAGCACUGGGUGCCACCUGACACUGCUAGGACGAAAGCGUGGGGAGCGAAUGGG